rnacentral:rRNA from 1 species
UACGGAGGGUGCGAGCGUUGUUCGGAAUCACUGGGCGUAAAGCGCGUGCAGGCGGUUUUCUAAGUCUGGUGUGAAAGCCCGGGGCUCACCCCCGGAAGUGCACUGGAGACUGGGAGACUUGAGUACCGGAGAGGAGGGUGGAAUUCCUGGUGUAGCGGUGAAAUGCGUAGAUAUCAGGAGGAACACCGGUGGCGAAGGCGGCCCUCUGGACGGCUACUGACGCUGAGACGCGAAAGCGUGGGGAGCAAACAGG